GACGAACGCUGGCGGCGUGCUUAACACAUGCAAGUCGAACGGAAAGGCCCUGCUUUUGUGGGGUGCUCGAGUGGCGAACGGGUGAGUAACACGUGAGUAACCUGCCCUUGACUUUGGGAUAACUUCAGGAAACUGGGGCUAAUACCGUAUAGGAGCUCCUGCUGCAUGGUGGGGGUUGGAAAUUUUCGGCGGUUGGGGAUGGACUCGCGGCUUAUCAGCUUGUUGGUGGGGUAGUGGCUUACCAAGGCUUUGACGGGUAGCCGGCCUGAGAGGGUGACCGGCCACAUUGGGACUGAGAUACGGCCCAGACUCCUACGGGAGGCAGCAGUGGGGAAUAUUGCACAAUGGGCGGAAGCCUGAUGCAGCAACGCCGCGUGCGGGAUGACGGCCUUCGGGUUGUAAACCGCUUUCGCCUGUGACGAAGCGUGAGUGACGGUAAUGGGUAAAGAAGCACCGGCUAACUACGUG
rnacentral:rRNA from 1 species